UUUCCUAAUGUCGAACAUUGAUGUGUGUUGUUUACAUGAAAACAAAAUAUUGGAAAACGAAAUACGGAAAGUUGGUUGUAUUUUUUUAUUCAGGUUUGGUUUUUUCAAUUUAAAAAAGAUUCGAGAAAUUGAAAAAAUUAAAAAUGCAUUGUCGUUUACGGUUCUUUAUGGUUAUUUUCGAGGCAAUAACAAAUCAUCUACUUGGAAGAUCGCGUACUUUUCCAGUAAAAAUUUGCAGGACAUUAAGAACCAUUUUACUCUCUUUAAAAAAUUUGCAAGUAAAUGUACGCGAAAGACUUCCAGUGAAAAUUUGCAUAAAAAUAGCUGAUUUUUGUUUUAGUUGGUUUUUUAUUUGCUUGCUUGGAAAAAAACGAUACUUGUGAGGUAUUUUCCUUAGAAAAACGUCAAUUUGUUGACCCGAGAGUGAAAAGGAAUAGAAGGAGAGUCAUUUGUAUAUUCGCGAUCUCCGUGCCGCCGUGCAGCCGUUACAAAUAACCGUGCAAUCCCAUGACAGCCGGUUGUACUCACCGCAUUGGCCCGAUGGAUCUUUCAGUGUACAACACUCUGCUCCAACAACAACAACCGUUCACGAAGCUACAAAUGUCAUCGGUGGCGCCAAGUCGCUGGUUCCAGACAGAAUCUCUACACUGAUGGUGAAGAAUCUGAAUCUGCCUGGAGUCGAUUACCUUAAACUCUCUUCAGCCUAUGUGAACACUAUUGAAGUAUCCGAUGUUUGGAAGAUGGGCAGUAUGAUCCCGCUACUGAAACCUGGAACGGACACGAGCAAGGGGAAGUCGUACAGACCAAUCUUACUUCUCUCAUCAGUAGCCAAGACGCAUGAUGGACUACUUCUCCCGAUCCUUCCGUUGGACAAUUUCGCCAAGCAUCAGAAUGCACUUCGAAGGCUGCAUAGUACCACAACUGAUGUUCAUUCCAUUCCCUUGUCGACAACACUUGGUGUGUUGACAAAGAAACCUUGGCCUAACCACCUAAUGCUUAUGGAUGUUGUGGUUAAACAAAUUGUUGCGGCCACUUAUGUUAGGCUAAGGGAGCUUUCUAUUUGGUCAUGUGCUAGACCCACUCAAUUCCAUGGCAGUAUCUUCCCUCCUUAACAAAUUCAAAGGAGCGUUGUUGGUUUCAUCGUAGCUCUCCGAUGAGGAUAAUUCCAUCAAAACACUUACGAAACCGAUAAUUGCUCUUUUUGGUGUCUGGAAGGAUACAGACAACCGACUUGAGGUAAAAUUACAACAUCAUUUAUCGAGAUUUCCUUGAACGCUAGCUGCUGCCAUGAAUCUUCAUUAAAUGUAAAUAAAAAUUAAACAAAUUUAAUAAUUACCAAUAAACAAUAUUUAUAUUUUUUUUAA